GGGCAGAUAUGGAUUUCUGACUACCCAUGUGGAAUGAUCAGAUCAGAUUUAUAACAACAAUUUGCUCAGACAUAUUUUUGGCUUGCCAAACCAUAGUAAGAUCUAUGACCAUGGUCGUACCAACCAGAGUGGUCCUAUCAGAUAUUUAAUAGUCACGACAGUACUUAACCAAAAGUGACCCUUAACAGAUAUUCGCGUCACCGCUCACGUCAAAGGGUAUACCAUCAUUUACAAUGAGCGAUCCUCUCACAUCUUUCAAAACUAGAUGGAGGAGGGGGAAACAGAAACCUCUCAGAGAUAAAAAGCCUAACGAGACACUUGAUGUAUUAUGUAUGUCAAUACAUAUAUAUAUAUUUUUCAGAC
rnacentral:lncRNA from 1 species